GUUGCCAUCAGCCACUUUGCUUCACUGGUCCAAUGCUCCAAAAGCCUUCGAACCCCCAUGCUGCAUAGAACUCCAAGGAGAUGAGGUGGCCAUCCUCUUUCUUAUCAGAUCUAGCCUCUUAGAUGCCUCUGGUGAAGAAGCCCUCACUGAAGAUGGUGGAUUGAGGUCAAUCUCAACUAAUAUUCCACCCUUAGAUGGUUCCAUAGAAACCCCUUUAUUGAUAGCCAUUCAAGGAGUUCUUUGACAAGUUGAUUUGGUAAAGAUUUGGAUUACUGCACCAUGACAUCUUUGGGAUUAGGAGGAGAAUUUGAAGAGGGUU
rnacentral:lncRNA from 1 species